rnacentral:rRNA from 1 species
UACGUAGGGGGCAAGCGUUGUCCGGAAUCAUUGGGCGUAAAGCGCGUGUAGGCGGUCCGGUAAGUCCGCUGUGAAAGUCGGGGGGCUCAACCCUCGGAUGCCGGUGGAUACUGUCGGGCUUGAGUACGGAAGAGGCGAGUGGAAUCCUGGUGUAGCGGUGGAAUGCGUAGAGAUCAGGAAGAACACCCAUGGCGAAGGCAGCUCUCUGGGCCGGUACUGACGUGAGACGCGAAAGCGUGGGGAGCGAACGGG